AAAUUCACCUCACUGGCCAGCAACAGAUGCUUGAAAUUCCUCUUUGGCAAAAGGAAUUCCCCCUUUCAGACUUCACUUUUUUAAAUGCAAAUAAUGUCAGAGUGGGGGUGCCACUUACUGUAAUGUAAAUCAGUUUGUCAGAGAUUAUCAAUGGAUUCUCACAGGAACAAAUAUAAUACGAAAUGGAAAUUGUACGAAUAAAGGACUGCAUUAAGGACUGUGACCUCUACAGCCUAUUGAUAGAGAAUAAUUUCAUUUGCACACGUACUUUCUGGCAUUUGUGGAGCAACGCUGAUGAAGUGCAACAAUGUUAAGGCAGCCUCCAGAAGCUGGAAAAGGCAAGGGAAUGGAGCCAGCAGAAGGAACCAGUCCUGCCAACACCCUGAUUUUAGUUCACUGACAUCCAUUUUGGACUUUCGACCUCCAGAACUGUAGCCUCAAUGUCCUCAUCUAUAAAGUGAUAAGAUAAACUCAUAAGGUUUUCAUUUUAUGAUGAAGCUGAUAUAUUCCAACUGCAAAAGUAUUAGUAACCAUAAUGGCUGGCCACAGUGACUCAUGCCUGUAAUCCCAGCACUUUCGGAGG